UAUUUUUUAGUAUAAAAAUUAUAAAUAAUUGCAGAUUAUUAGAUAAGAAUUUCUUAAAAAUAU
rnacentral:tRNA from 1 species